GAUGAACGCUGGCGGCGUGCCUAAUACAUGCAAGUCGAGCGAACAGAUUAGGAGCUUGCUCCUCUGACGUUAGCGGCGGACGGGUGAGUAACACGUGGAUAACCUACCUAUACGACUGGGAUAACUUCGGGAAACCGGAGCUAAUACCGGAUAAUAUAUUUAACCGCAUGGUUCAAUAGUGAAAGACGGUUUUGCUGUCACUUAUAGAUGGAUCCGCGCCGCAUUAGCUAGUUGGUAAGGUAACGGCUUACCAAGGCAACGAUGCGUAGCCGACCUGAGAGGAUGAUCGGCAACACUGGAACUGAGACACGGUCCAGACUACUACGGGAGGCAGCAAUAGGGAAUCUUCCGCAAUGGGCGAAAGCCUGACGGAGCAACGCAGCGUGAGUGAUGAAGGUAUUCGGAGCGUAAAACUCUGUUAUUAGGGAAGAACAAAUGUGUAAGUAACUAUGCACGUCUUGACGGUACCUAAUCAGAAAGCCACGGCUAACUACGUG
rnacentral:rRNA from 1 species